AUGACCAGAGAACCAUCAGCAGGGCAGGGCAGCUGUGGGCAUGAACCAUCUAGAUCUCCAAGGAAGGGAAAAAACGGCGUGGGGGAGGUUGGAGAUCCAGCCAGGCGUUCUUCGCCGAGAGUCUUCGGGGUUUCCGGCUUCAACAGUGCUCGGACGGCACCCAGCCCUCGUCCCCGCCUCCGUCACCUCUUCACCGCGCCCUUGGACCGCCCCAAGGCCCCCGCCGCCGCUCCUGUGUCGUGCAGCCACCGCCGCCGCCGCCGCCGCCUGGCCUUAGCCUCCGCCAUGACGACCGGGUCCAGCUCGCAGGUGCGCCGGAACUAACACCAGGACUCAGAGGCCGCCAUCAACCGCCAGAUCAGCCUGGAGCUCUGCGCCUCCAACGUUUACCUGUCCAUGUCUUGCUACUUCGACCGCGAUGAUGUGGCCUUGAAAAAUUUUGCCAAAUACUUUCUUCACCAAUCUCAUGAGGAGAGGGAACAUGCCGAGAAACUGAUGAAGCUGCAGAACAACUAGGUGGCCGAAUCUUCCUUCAGGAUAUCAAGAAACCAGACUAUGAGGACUGGGGUGGGAGAGCGGGCUGAAUGCGAUGGAGUGUGCAUUACAUUUGGAAAAAAAUGUGAAUCAGUCACUACUGGAACUGCACAAACUGGCCACUGAUAAAAAUGACCCUCAUUUGUGUGACUUCAUUGAGACACAUUACCUGAAUGAGCAGGUGAAAGCCAUCAAAGAAUUAGGUGACCACGUGACCAACUCGCGCAAGAUAGGAGCACCCGAAUCAGGCUUGGCAGAGUAUCUCUUUGACAAGCACACCCUGGGAGACAGUGAUAAUGAAAGCUAAGCCUCAGGCUAAUUUCCCCAUAGCCAUGGGGUGACUUCCCUGGUCACUAAGGCAGUGCAUGCAUGUUGGGGUAUCCUUUACCUUUUCUAUAAGUUGUACCAAAACGUCCACUUAUGUUCUUUGAUUUGUACCAUUCCUUCAAAUAAAGAA